GUUUCUGCCUGCAGCUAGACCAGGAAGAAAGGAGACUGAGCAGAGGAAAUGAAAGAGUAAAGGAGAGGAGAGAGUGGGUAGGACACAAAGCUGAGGUGACUGAAGCAGCAGGAAGUAGGCAGGGCAUGAAGAAUUGGGAUUCAAAGCCCUUGAAUUUAGUUCCCAACUUCACUUAUGGGGCAAUGCUCCAAGUCACUCAGUCACCCUGAACUUCAGCUGGAGAAGGGGAACAGGAAUAAUGCCUAUCUUCCAGGAGUGUUCUGCACAAAACUGAAGGCACAGAUGAAAAAGCACUCUGCAAAUUAAAAGAGAAGGAUGGAUAGAGAAAAGCAUCAUUACAAAAGUGAAAUGUGUGAAUUUUAUUCUGGCUUUGAACAUUGAGUAGACGAAGAAGACAAUUCCAGACGGAGGAAACUCCACAAGAAAUAUCAUGGAAAUUUGAAAGAACACAGUGGGCUUGGGAAGAGAGAUCUCAGUGGUGGAAGCACCAUCAUCCCAAGGAGACUUAGGACAUUAUUUGAAGAGAGUUUUCCCCUGAGGAAAGUGCUUCAGAGGAGAAAAUACACCAGAAAAAGACAAGGCCCUGCUCUGAGGAGUGAAGACACAAUCCAGCAGGCAGGAGGGAUGGCUAAGUUCAAAGUCUUGAGAAGUGCCCCUCAUGGACACCCCAGGGUGCCCAUCUCCAGGUUACCACCAGGUGCUUCCAAGACCAAGAUAACCAGGCAAUCAUAGUAGAUGCAUCAAUGCACCCUUGCCCAAGGGCCUAGACAAGAGGAGGAAGGAAAGGAGGAGCACGUGCACAAAGCUAAGGAGGUAUUGUUUAGCUUCGCAUGAAUUUUAUCACCUUGCCUAGAACCAGCCACCAUCUGCCAGGGCUCCUGACUUUUUCUGAAAUGAAUAGACACUAAAGCCUGCUGGGGAAUUUCAUGGAAAUCAAGAUGACUCAACCCAGAGUCCAUUUCAAGGCUAGGAUGCUAGAGGACGCCAACAAAGGAGUAGGGAAGUGAAACGGAUCAGCUCACAUCCAAGCCCUUGCAUGAUCAAUCCUGCAGUAGGAGUGCUGCUCAGUUGGGACUCAUGAGAGCCCGGAAGAGGAAAAAGCAGCUCUAAGCAUAGCAAAGAAGCUGUUAUGGAAAAGACCCAAAUGUUAAAAUGGUGGACAUAGUAAAGUGAUUGGUUCUGCUUAGGGGAAUCUAGAUCCCCACAUUUUGACCUCCACUGGAGUCUCAGAAGAACAAGUGCCAGGGGGGCUUGCCACAGAGGCCAAGGCAGUGAAUGUCAGGCACAUCACAGUCCCCAAGAUGGGGAGAAGACUGAGAUGCAGGGUAACAACUGCAAUCCAUUCAUGGGAGCCAUGUUUAUCUUAAAUCAUUGACAGUGAGAUAAGGAUCAUGUCAGCCUUCAUACCUUUGAUGAUGAUCCCAGGCUGCAACAGUGACACAUAGAACUGGAUUCAGUAACUAACUACAGAUUCCAUCAACCAGGACUAGUAAAGUGAAAGGCAGAAAUUGGGAGGAGGGGUUUCUUUCUUGCUUAUAAAACUUUAUUUGGUUGUGUUGAGUAUGUGCAUGUAUGUAUGAAAUCCCAUAAAGCAGUCUUCUUAGGAACAAGCCAACAUGCCACAAUGUAGGAGAUCUUUGGAGCACUGGCCUAAAUGGCAGAGAGCUCAAGGGACUCUGCUUUGUACAAGGCAUGAUUUGUACCACCACCACUAUCCCUGUUUCAGAGCACUGUUGAAUUGUUCCAAACCUGGAUUUCUAUGUCAGCUCCCUGUCUAUAGUACUUGACUGAUAAAUGCUAGUUUCUGAAAUCUGCUUUGGUUCUAUAAUUUAUUAGACAGCUUUUUCUUCCCAUUUUAUUACUUGUUUUUACUGUCAUUGGUAUAUUAUCUCUUACAGUGAAAACAUUCAUAGGCUGAUUGAAGAGAAGAUCUGAAAUUAUUAGGCAGCAAGCAUACAAAACCCUUGCUUUAUAAAGAUAAUAUCUUAAAGGCCUAAUGUCUAUGGUUCAAAGCAGCCUGGAGAUGUUGGCUAAAUCUUCCAUCAUAGAGUCCUCAUGGGAUCUGGAAGCUCUGAUUUAUCUUCCUUCAGGCCCUAUAAGUUAGCUUUCCACAUCUGUAGGUUCCACAAUCAACCUUGGAUCAAAAACAUUUGAAA
rnacentral:lncRNA from 1 species